rnacentral:rRNA from 1 species
AAAUUGAAGAGUUUGAUCAUGGCUCAGAUUGAACGCUGGCGGCAGGCCUAACACAUGCAAGUCGAACGGUAACAGGAAACAGCUUGCUGUUUCGCUGACGAGUGGCGGACGGGUGAGUAAUGUCUGGGAAACUGCCCGAUGGAGGGGGAUAACUACUGGAAACGGUAGCUAAUACCGCAUAACGUCGCAAGACCAAAGAGGGGGACCUUAGGGCCUCUUGCCAUCGGAUGUGCCCAGAUGGGAUUAGCUAGUAGGUGGGGUAAAGGCUCACCUAGGCGACGAUCCCUAGCUGGUCUGAGAGGAUGACCAGCCACACUGGAACUGAGACACGGUCCAGACUCCUACGGGAGGCAGCAGUGGGGAAUAUUGCACAAUGGGCGCAAGCCUGAUGCAGCCAUGCCGCGUGUAUGAAGAAGGCCUUCGGGUUGUAAAGUACUUUCAGCGGGGAGGAAGGGAGUAAAGUUAAUACCUUUGCUCAUUGACGUUACCCGCAGAAGAAGCACCGGCUAACUCCGUGCCAGCAGCCGCGGUAAUACGGAGGGUGCAAGCGUUAAUCGGAAUUACUGGGCGUAAAGCGCACGCAGGCGGUUUGUUAAGUCAGAUGUGAAAUCCCCGGGCUCAACCUGGGAACUGCAUCUGAUACUGGCAAGCUUGAGUCUCGUAGAGGGGGGUAGAAUUCCAGGUGUAGCGGUGAAAUGCGUAGAGAUCUGGAGGAAUACCGGUGGCGAAGGCGGCCCCCUGGACGAAGACUGACGCUCAGGUGCGAAAGCGUGGGGAGCAAACAGGAUUAGAUACCCUGGUAGUCCACGCCGUAAACGAUGUCGACUUGGAGGUUGUGCCCUUGAGGCGUGGCUUCCGGAGCUAACGCGUUAAGUCGACCGCCUGGGGAGUACGGCCGCAAGGUUAAAACUCAAAUGAAUUGACGGGGGCCCGCACAAGCGGUGGAGCAUGUGGUUUAAUUCGAUGCAACGCGAAGAACCUUACCUGGUCUUGACAUCCACGGAAGUUUUCAGAGAUGAGAAUGUGCCUUCGGGAACCGUGAGACAGGUGCUGCAUGGCUGUCGUCAGCUCGUGUUGUGAAAUGUUGGGUUAAGUCCCGCAACGAGCGCAACCCUUAUCCUUUGUUGCCAGCGGUCCGGCCGGGAACUCAAAGGAGACUGCCAGUGAUAAACUGGAGGAAGGUGGGGAUGACGUCAAGUCAUCAUGGCCCUUACGACCAGGGCUACACACGUGCUACAAUGGCGCAUACAAAGAGAAGCGACCUCGCGAGAGCAAGCGGACCUCAUAAAGUGCGUCGUAGUCCGGAUUGGAGUCUGCAACUCGACUCCAUGAAGUCGGAAUCGCUAGUAAUCGUGGAUCAGAAUGCCACGGUGAAUACGUUCCCGGGCCUUGUACACACCGCCCGUCACACCAUGGGAGUGGGUUGCAAAAGAAGUAGGUAGCUUAACCUUCGGGAGGGCGCUUACCACUUUGUGAUUCAUGACUGGGGUGAAGUCGUAACAAGGUAACCGUAGGGGAACCUGCGGUUGGAUCACCUCCUUACCUUAAAGAAGC